rnacentral:lncRNA from 1 species
AAAAUCCAUGGUUAAUGCUCAUGUUGGCAAACUAACUUUUACUCAUUGUUUUUUUCUUUAAUGCAAACCUUGUGAGCAGUGGAAGAAGGAAAAGUGGCAUGCUUUCUUUUGGCCACAACUGGACUAAUUAAGAUGCGAUAUUCAAUCAUGAAGAAGAAGAUGAUAUUAGAAGUGAGUAGUUGUUUACCUCAGGUUUCUAUUACCGUGCCCUCACUCAAGGCCCCAAUUCUUUUUAAUCAAAUAUUGCGGAAAUACUGUUACAAAUUUGUUAUUGUAUUUCUGAUAGAACCAUAUCAAAUAUAGUUUCUUGUAAUGAUCAUUUUUCGCUGAUGUAAUUGCAGGCAUUUGUUUUCCUUCUUCUGAUCACCAUUUGCAGAUUUACUAUU